UGGGGAAUCUUAGACAAUGGGGGCAACCCUGAUCUAGCCAUGCCGCGUGAGUGAUGAAGGCCCUAGGGUUGUAAAGCUCUUUCAGCUGGGAAGAUAAUGACGGUACCAGCAGAAGAAGCCCCGGCUAACUCCGUGCCAGCAGCCGCGGUAAUACGGAGGGGGCUAGCGUUGUUCGGAAUUACUGGGCGUAAAGCGCGCGUAGGCGGAUCAGCAAGUUAGGGGUGAAAUCCCGGGGCUCAACCCCGGAACUGCCUCUAAAACUGUUGGUCUUGAGUUCGAGAGAGGUGAGUGGAAUUCCGAGUGUAGAGGUGAAAUUCGUAGAUAUUCGGAGGAACACCAGUGGCGAAGGCGGCUCACUGGCUCGAUACUGACGCUGAGGUGCGAAAGCGUGGGGAGCAAACAGGAUUAGAUACCC
rnacentral:rRNA from 1 species